rnacentral:tRNA from 1 species
GCCGAAGUGGUGGAACAGGUAGACACGCUAUCUUGAGGGGGUAGUGGGCACCGCCCGUGGGGGUUCGAAUCCCCCCUUCGGCA